GGGGGAUAUUGCACAAUGGAGGAAACUCUGAUGCAGCGACGCCGCGUGAGGGAAGACGGUCUUCGGAUUGUAAACCUCUGUCUUAGGGGAAGAAAAUGACGGUACCCUAAGAGGAAGCUCCGGCUAACUACGUGCCAGCAGCCGCGGUAAUACGUAGGGAGCGAGCGUUGUCCGGAAUUACUGGGUGUAAAGGGAGCGUAGGCGGGACAGCAAGUUGGAUGUUUAAACUACCGGCUUAACCGGUAUCUGCAUCCAAAACUGCAGUUCUUGAGUGAAGUAGAGGCAGGCGGAAUUCCUAGUGUAGCGGUGAAAUGCGUAGAUAUUAGGAGGAACACCAGUGGCGAAGGCGGCCUGCUGGGCUUUAACUGACGCUGAGGCUCGAAAGCGUGGGGAGCAAAC
rnacentral:rRNA from 1 species